UAAGUUUCAUUCGAAUCAACGAGCCACUUCUGUUAUUCCCAGUCCCUCUGGGUCGGAUUAGUCGUCACACCCUGGAAGAGGAAGUAACAGAGCCACCAAGAGAAAUGACUGGCUGACAAUAGCAGAGCCAGGAAUAAAACACAAGAAACUUUGUCUCCAGAGAUAACACCCUUGAGUACAACAAUAACAACCGUUCAAACAAAAAAAAUUUUUUAACAGUCAUUUUUAAUAAAAAUUAACAAUAAUUGAA